UAUCCCAAGCGGGCUCUUCACUGUCAGCACAGAGCCUGAUGUGGGGCUUGAACGCAGGAACUGUGAGAUCAUGACCUGAGCCAAAUCCAAGAAUUGUAUGCUUAACCCAGGCACCCCCACGUGCCCCAUUCUUAUCUUGUGUUCUGAAAUUCCAUAAUUAGACAUUAACUUUAAAACUCCUUGUCUUAUUUUAAAAAUCAGUGGUGCAUUAUCUAGUAAAAAGAGAAUAGGGAGGAAAACAUUGUGCUGGUAGAAAGAUCCAGAUUCUCAAAAUCAGAAAAUCUGUAAGAAAUUUACUUUAAUUAUGCCAUACAUAUAAAUAUUUCAAAAACUAAAUUUUGUUUUGAAUGACCUGUGGGGGUGACUGUAUAAUGUCAAGAGCUUUUUAUUGCCUAGUGCUUUUUUAGUACAUUAGGUCUUAAUUUGAGCCUAGUUAAAAUAUAAAUACUCUUGGGAAACUAUCACUUUGUAUUAGUUUUCGAUUUUGUUGUAACAAACUACUACACAUUUAACAACUUAGAACAACAGCUAUGUAUUAGCUUCAUAAUUACGACUUGUCACUUCAUUUCUGGGCCUCAAGCUUCCAGUCUGUAAUAUGCUACGUGUGAAAUGGUGGUGUUUUUAACAGUGUUAUUAGUUUAGACUUUCUGAAACUUGGUUCCAAAGUCAUACAAUGUUCUCUAGUUGUAAAGAUGCUUGGCAUCCCUUAUAAGGAGUGAUGAAAGAACUGAGGAUGGCUCAUUAAAAUGGAACCCUAUUGAAUGUGCCCUGCCAACACAGUCCUGCAGGUCACCAUAGCAUCUGAAGGGUAGCUUUGAAAAAGUAAUUGAUGUCAGAGGAUGGUCAGGAUGAGGGUGGCCAGACUAGUGUUUCACAAGGUAGUUCAUUCGAGCUCUCUUACUCCCAAGCAUCUGGAUAGAACUCCCUGCCAUGCUUGAGGCUUUCAGAAAUCAAAGUAAAAAGCAAACAAUAGUAAGGCUUCUUAAUAUUUAGGAGCAGAACAUGUGUGGAAGAUACUAUUGCUGCCAACCAAUAUUUCCUGCUUUCCUGCCUUUAGACAACCAGUAUGAUUUUACUUCCCCAGCCUCUGAAGACGGAUGUUCCAUGUGAUCUUUUUGGUCAAUGAAAUAAGAGAAUCUAUUACAAGCCAAACAUCAAUCUCUGAAUCUAAAAUUUAGGACUGCACUUUAUGGAAAUUGAGCCUGUAUUGUUCUUCUGAACACCAGCCAAGAAUCUCCACACUGCAGAACAACCCAGGGGCUGAUCUGGUUUGCAAGAAUUCUUCCUCCUUAGAUGCCUGAGUUGUCCUCCAGAGUUUGGCAAAAUCAGACAUGAGCCUAUAGAGACAUGUUGAAUGGCAAGCACAAGGGCCAGAGAAGGAUCUGGAUUGCCCUCUGCAGGCAGAUGGCCUCUCAGGUGAGGAAGAGCCCAGCUCUGUCUCAGUCCCUGCUGAGACUUUGCCUCUCCAGCCUCGAUGCUAAUGGUUUAGCAGCAGAUGGGCAGGGGGAGCUCCACGAACUUCAUCACUGCUGUGUGCAUUUGGCACAGGGUGAGGGCUGAAAUAGCACAUCCUCUGUAACUCCCUGGCUCGGCAGUUUUUUGUUUUUGUGAUUAAUGUCCAGUGCAAAGGUGAGUAAUGUGGCAAUUCAUUGUAGUAAUUCGAGUUAUGGGGAAUAUAUGGACUCCUUUGCUCAGCAUCCUUUUCUCCAGCUCCUUGUCACAUAAAAAGAAUCAUUACAUUGGGAAUACACUGCCAUCAGCCACAGGACCAAGCAGAGAUACAACUCAUGUGCCCCAACUAUCUCUGCUGUCAGCUUUUCGAGCCCUUCUUUGUAGGACUGGACCAGGCUAACCUGACUCAAAGGGUAGUAAAGAAAGUUCUCAGUGCCUUCUCUUUGGCCCUACCUGUUUUGAGUACUACCUAAAAAUGACUAGUUGAAUCUAAAUGACCCACAACCUCUAGUAAAUUAAUUUCAAUUUUGUCUUAUAUUAUUAUCACCCCAAGGCAACUUUUGAGCUGGAGAAGUUUGGCUGGCUGUGGUAGGAGGACCUCCUGCUCCAGUAAGUCCAGGAAAGCAUGGCUGUUGUCAUCUGGCAGGGAUGGAAGUGCAGAUGAGCAGAGGAAAUGCAGAUAAGAGCCUUGGCCCCAGCUUCCAGAUUCAAGGGAAGUGGUAAGAUGCUCGCAGGGCUGAGGAACCCUAAGUCCACCAGCUUUGGGAGCAAGUGAUUGCACACACCUUAAAGUUUCCAUAGGUCUACAGGAAAGGAAGGGAAUUCCAUGGCUUUCCAUCUCCUGCUCUAGUCUCUGAGACUCCAGUGAUGUCGUGCAGUCCAGUCAUCUUAACUGGAAAGUAUUUCUGAAUUCAUUAGCUGGUGGGGUCUGCGACCUUGGGGUCUUCUUUCAGUAAUCCAAGGUAGACAUGUUGAAGUUAGAAGGAUAAAAGAGCACUUGGAGGGGAUUGAGCAGUAUUAUAGUCUUUCCAGAAGACACUCCCUUCCAGUGGAGAAGGGGUGUGAAGGUAAAGAAAGAGAGGAACUAGCUCAGCCCCUAUUGGUUACUUGCAUUUGGCAGGUAAGUCCCUACUGAUGCUCUGUGGGGAUGUGCAUGCCUCCACGUGUGUGCAUGUGAGAGAGGAGAGGAGGGGGACAUGCCUCUCUGACCCAUGGCACCUGGUCCCACUGGGAUUUCCUGCCACAUCUGGGUGUCUGCCACUCAGGUCUAGUCACCAAACCUGGGUGGGAAGGUUUGAGCAGAGGUGAGAAAGGUAGUCAUCUCCUCACUCCCUCCAUCAUCCCCUCUCACGGUGCUCAUGCUAGCGGCUGCCUGUGCAAAUGGAUCCGCUGCACUAGAUCUUAAGCCCAUGUCAUUAUUCCCAGAGAUGUAUGAACAACAUUACCCAGCUGCCAGCAAUGACAGCACGUGUUACCUUUAAAAAGCUCUUCUUCAAUCUUACAAUACCCAAAUUUCGAAAGAAACUUUCUGUGCAAUCUCUCUUCUGUGCUGCUGCACUGCACCCCUAGCCACAUCGAGGCUCUCUCUCUCUCCAGUGUGUGUCUGAUUGAAAAUUCAAUUCAACUCACUUCAAAUAUGCAUCGAGCACCUUUAUGUUGGCAGCAAAGAGGUAAAAGCCAUAGGGGAUACAAAAUAAGUAUAAAGCACAGUUUCUGCCUUCAAAAAGUCUGCCGUGCUAUUGGGAACAACAUGGAGAAACAACAGGAGACCAACAUGAGACAGAAUAUAUCUACUCAUCAGAAUGUGUUGUUCUGACAUUAAGUGCAUUGGAUAUUCCAGAAAAGGAGAUCUCAGUGAGGGCCAGAGUUGUCAGGGCAGAAAGCGUCUUGGAGAGGUCAGGAGCUGGUUUGGGACUUUGAAGGAUUGGGAGGAGUCGAAUAUGUAGCUGGAUCACAUACAAAAUUUUUCCUGUUAUUUCAGGUUUUCUACUGAAGCCUCAAAGCUGAAAACAACAUGACCUGAUUACUCCCACCACCUUUUUUUAAAUGUUUAUUUUAGAGAGAGAGACAGACACAGAGAGACAGAGAGAGAGAGAGAGAGAGAGAGAGAGAGAGAGAGAGAGAGAGAAUCCGAAACAGGUUCCAGGCUCUGAGCUGUCAGCACAGACCCCAACAACUCCCAGUCUUAAGUGCUCACCAAAGAGUUGUCAUAUGGAGGUGCCCUCACGUAGCCCUCACAUAACCCCAGUGUGGGACACCUGUCCCAUCAAGGCUGUUGCAUCAAGGCUGUUGCUGGUUAAAGGGGGACAGCAUGAGUUAUGUAAGAGGACCCCCUUCCCUCAUGGCUCUGCCCAGACCUCAGCUCUUAAGAAGCAAGAGAGACCAGGUACAGGGAGAUGGACAGUGGAGAAGAGGAGUGAAGCUGUUUCUCUGUUUCUCUGUGGUCAGUUCUGACUGGGAGAAGGGGAAAACCUUUAUAUUUCAUGGGCAGGACUUCCUCUGUCCUUAAAGGAAGUCUAAAUGGUCCAGAUGAGGCUCUUCUUGUAACUGACAGUACUGAGUAACCCUGGGAGUUGUUGUCCUAAGAUGCUGCCAGGGUGGGGGCAGGAAGGGAGAGAACACACAAUUCUAUUGAAGGGCAUCUGCCCCUGGGCCCUCACAGGGACCAGCAAACUGAUUCCAGAGAUAUGGGAGCACCAGGAAGGGCAAUUCAGGAAGGCAGAGGGGCCAAGUGGAUGCCAUGGGUGGAGUGGGCGUGGAGUGUUGGGGGUCUCGGUGACUCCGACUGUGGAAGGCCUGAGAUAGGACUUCAACAUCUUUGAGAGGAUUGACAGCAGAAGAGGUUAAAGCAAAUAAAAAAGGGGACCAUCCCAUUUCCCAAGUACGUUUCCUGGGAAGGGCUCCUUCUCCACAAUACCAUCUCUUCUUCUUUCCUGAGCGUCUCCAGCAGUUGGUUCCUUGUUGCCACGUAGGUCAGAGAGUCUAUCUUCCCCUAAUAUUCUCAUUUACCUGUUUGGAAACUGAGGGGGGUUCCCAGGAGGAGGGAUACCCCACGCCUUUUCCCCCACUUCCCACAGGGGCAGGAAAGACCCACUGAACCUGCACUUAUGUUACCCAAGUCAACUUGGCCCAGAGAUGGAAGUUUAAUUUCUUGUUUACAAGACAAAUGAGGAACAAGGAGGAGAGAGGCAGCGUUUUCUUGUUGGUAGGGCGUUGGGAGAGGUGACCCACCACAGUUCCCUGGAGAGUGGAUUUCCAGAGGGUUUUAAUUAUGAUCGCUGAGCUGCAGUUUGGAGAGACACAGCUGCUGAAAGGCAGCUGUCUUAUUUAUACUGCCGUCUGGCUGGAUUACAUUGCCUCUACAGCAGUGAAAAUUUUAGUCCACACUCUUGGAGGGGGGUGGUGAGAAAUACCUUGUUUUUAUAAAUCAAAUUUAUUCUGACUGUGAGCUUUAACUCUCUAGAGGGUGAGAAAUUAGAUCUCUGUCCUAUUUGGAAGGUUUGCCCCAUUUCCACUCAGGCAAACAAGGAUCAGGGCAGUGGGGAUGGCAGAAAGCCCUCUGGUCUACAGCCCAUCAUUGUGAUGGCUGUGGUUCUCACUGCUCAAAUUUACAAGGUUUAUUGAAAGGUGGGUGGCUACACUACUUCCCUGUCAAGCAGUGGCAUGCUGUCUUUGGCUACUGUUCUC